CAAGGGGAAACAUUUCCUCUCGGAAACUUUAGAAAAAGAACACGCCAGAGCUUCUCCGCCGCCUUAAUCGAUUGAACCACCGCAGCUCUCCGGCGGGGAAUAUGACGGAGAUCAUCAAACCUCCGAUCAACACUCAAAACGGAGAAAACCCAAACCAUUCUCACUUCCCAUCAACUUCAAUGCGAGAUUCAAGCUUUGAAAUCCCUAUUCUACCACCAGAGCUCAUCACUGAGAUACUCUUAAAGCUACCAGUCAAAUCCCUUUUACAAUUCAGGCGUGUUUCAAAAUCUUGGCUUUCCUUAGUAUUUAGCCCUGAAUUUGUCAAAACCCAUCUUAGUAUAUGUACUAAUAACAAGGACAACACCCACCAUAGACUUAUGCUGACUCCUCUUUGUGAGAAAAAUCUUGAGGUAUGUUCUCUUGGUUCUUUACUUUAUGAGUCUGUUACCGAGGCAUUUGACUUCGAUUAUCCAAUAAAAAACCCUCUUGAAUCUGCUUGGAUUGUGGGUUCUGUCAAUGGCUUAAUUUGUCUUAAAAAUGCGGAAGAACAUUUAUUGCUGUGGAAUCCAUCUAUUAGAAAGCUCAAGAAAGUUACUGCUUUUGUAGCUGCCCCACGCCUGGUCACUACACAUAUGGUUUUGGAUAUGAUGAGCUUAUGAUGAUUAUAAGAUAGUGAUUGUUUUUUUAUAGUACCGAUGGUCGCUCUGAUGUUAAGGUCAACAUAUAUAGUUUAAAUAGUGAUUCUUGGAGAGGAGUUGAUGAUUUCCGCGAUGGGGUGUUAUUGGAUUCAGCUAAGUCCAUGAAUGGGAAGCUUCAUUGGAUUAAUACUGCUAGUCGUCCUAGGUGUAAUGAUUGGACCAUCAUUUCUAUUGAUUUGGCUGAUGAGAAAUGGGAAAGCUGGAGCAGCCUUGCUGUGGAGAAGGAUAUUUUCUUUUGUUGCUGUGAGUGUUGGGAAGUGAUCUUUCCAUGUUUUAUGAUUAUUACCACAGAAACUGCAUAGAUGUGUGGGUUAUGAAAGAAUAUGGUGUCAAAGAGUCUUGGACAAGAAUGUAUACCAUCGAAGAACUUCUUCCUGAUGUGACGAACUUUGUGCCUUCUCCACCCCUUUGCAUGUCAAAUAAAGGUGAAAUUGUUUGUGUUUGGAUCAACUUUUAUGAUAUACUAUCCAAAGGAUGGCUUGAUCAGAUAUCCAAAGGUUGCUAAUUUUCAUUGCUGUCUUGAGGGGACCGUCUACAUUGAAAGUUUAGUUUGUCCAAUUUUAUGAUGAAGGCUGCAAGCACUCACGUGAAUGACAAUUAUGUUGCUAAUGACUUGAGCGGAAGCUGUUAUAGGGAGCAAUUUAUCCAUCUGCUGACUGCAUGAAUUUUGACGAUGAAGCAUUACAUCGCCUCAUUGGUGUUCAUAUCGAUAUGUUAAUUUUCUUUAUAUGUGUAUAAAACAAGGCGUACCUAUGUUUGGUACAACCUAUUUGUUAUUUUGCAACCUAUCAACCUUAUGCUUCCGUUUAUCGUAUUUGUCAAAGGUAGUGUUUGGCUGAUGUUGGUAUUUACUAUAUAGUAUUGAUCUUGCCUGUGCUGGUUAGAUUUU